rnacentral:rRNA from 1 species
GAUGAACGCUGGCGGCGUGCCUAAUACAUGCAAGUCGAGCGAACAGACGAGGAGCUUGCUCCUCUGACGUUAGCGGCGGACGGGUGAGUAACACGUGGAUAACCUACCUAUAAGACUGGGAUAACUUCGGGAAACCGGAGCUAAUACCGGAUAAUAUCUUGAACCGCAUGGUUCAUUAGUGAAAGACGGUUUUGCUGUAACUUAUAGAUGGAUCCGCGCCGCAUUAGCUAGUUGGUACGGUCACGGCUUAUCAAGGCAACGAUGCGUAGCCGACCGGAGAGGGUGAUCGGCCACACUGGAACUGAGACACGGUCCAGACUCCUACGAGAGGCAGCAGUAGGGAAUCUUCCGCAAUGGGCGAAAGCCUGACGGAGCAACGCGGCGUGAGUGAUGAAGAUCUUCGGAUCGUAAAACUCUGUUAUUAGGGAAGAACAAAUGUGUAAGUAACUAUGCACGUCUUGACGGUACCUAAUCAGAAAGCCACGGCUAACUACGUG